rnacentral:lncRNA from 1 species
AUGCCAUCAUCAAGGCACUACCAUUCUGGUAGAAUUUACUCACCAACUGGUUCAUCUGAUCAGUGGACUGGCACAUCAGGGCAAUGGUUUUCAAGAGAUGUGAACGUCCAGAUAUACGCUCUGAGUAGUGGGCCGGAAGAUGCCACAUCAUUCCCAAUACUAUGCUGUCUCUAACACAACUGAAAUGGGGUGCACCACAGAGCAGGCAGGAAAAUCACUGCUCAGGCAUGGACGCCAAUGUCUACUCCUGGAAAUCCGCUUCUGCUCACUCCAGAAAGCACCGGAGGUGUGACGAGAGCAACCCUCAUUGCUGUGCAUCCCCUGGCAGGAAACACACGCUCAGGUGCAUUUGUUCGUCCGUUUUCUUUGAAAUGCUGUGGAAAGCAGUGUACAGCAGUCCUAGCAAAAGGAGAAUUCAGAAAUGAGAAGACGGAGGAGAUUUUGCCCUUCUUCACCCAUGAAGGAUCCUAAUGAUGCCCACAUUCCAGCCAAGAAAGAAGAUCACCAAAUUAUCAGAAAAAUCUUCUCUGGAUUCUUCUGAAGUCAGUUUUUUAAACUUGUCUUUGCUUGUUUGUAACCAUGUUGUACCAAUUUGACAUCACCCUAACCCACUUCUGAAAGGUGUUCUUCUGGUUAGGAUUUGGAGAAAGAUAAGCAACCCUUAUUCCCUCAAUAAUAACAAGAAAAACCCAGAUAAAAUCACGAGCAUGUUUUCUACAGAGCUAGCAGGGAAUGGUAGAUACCAAUGAGCCCUAAUGCACUGAAUUACAGAAAGAAAUAAGCUCUAAUGUAUCAACCCAAAACAGAGUCAGCUUGUAUAAAUGAGGCCAGGUACCUAAUAUAGGUAUGGUCAGACAGAAAAGUUGGUUAGCAUUCCAGAAAAUCAGCAAUCAGAAAGACACAUUUCAGGAAAGAUCAGCUGAGCCUUAGACCACAGUGAAGGCAGGCAACACCAAUAGCAACUAUGUAUGGUGAUGGAUGUUAACUAGACGUACUGUGGUGAUCAUUUCACAAUAUGGUCAUGUGCCACAUAAUGAUAUUUUGUUCAAACACAGACUGCAUAUAUGACAAUGGUCGCAUAAGAUUAGUACUAUAUAGCCUAGGUGUGUAUUAGGCUAUAUCGUGUAAGUUUGUGUAGGUACACUCUGAUGUUCACACAACUGUGAAAUUUCCUAGCAACACAUUUCUCAGAAUGCAUCACCAUUGUUAAGCAACAGAUGACUAUACACAAAAAUAUUGAAUCAUUAUGUUGUACAUCUGAAACUAAU